UACGUAGGGCGCGAGCGUUGUCCGGAAUUAUUGGGCGUAAAGAGCUCGUAGGCGGUGUGUCACGUCGGCCGUGAAAACCUGCAGCUUAACUGUGGGCGUGCGGUCGAUACGGGCAUCACUGGAGUUCGGCAGGGGAGACUGGAAUUCCUGGUGUAGCGGUGAAAUGCGCAGAUAUCAGGAGGAACACCGGUGGCGAAGGCGGGUCUCUGGGCCGAUACUGACGCUGAGGAGCGAAAGCGUGGGGAGCAAACAGG
rnacentral:rRNA from 1 species